ACGUAGGGUGCAAGCGUUGUCCGGAAUUAUUGGGCGUAAAGAGCUCGUAGGCGGUUUGUCGCGUCUGCUGUGAAAAUCCAAGGCUCAACCUUGGACCUGCAGUGGGUACGGGCAGACUAGAGUGCGGUAGGGGAGAUGGGAAUUCCUGGUGUAGCGGUGGAAUGCGCAGAUAUCAGGAGGAACACCAAUGGCGAAGGCACAUCUCUGGGCCGUAACUGACGCUGAGGAGCGAAAGCGUGGGGAGCGAACAGGAUUAGAUACCCUGGUAGUCCAGACCGUAAACGGUGGGCACUAGUUGUGGGAACCUUCCACGGUUUCUGCGACGCAGCUAACGCAUUAAGUGCCCCGCCUGGGGAGUACGAUCGCAAGAUUA
rnacentral:rRNA from 1 species